UGGCAAGAUCCUGUAAGAUCUUAGGUAAGUCCUGUAAGAACUUGGAAAGAUCUUGCAAGAUCCUGCAAGAUCUUUCCAUGAUCUUGCAGGAUUUAUGUAAGAUCUUGGCAACAUCUUGGGUAAGAUCUUGCAGGAUCAUGGCAAGAUCUUGCUGAAUUUUUGGUAAGAUCUUGCAGGAUCAUGGCAAGAUCUUGCAGGAUUUUUGGUAAGAUCUUGCAGGAUCAUGGCAAGGUCUUGCAGGAUUUUUG